AAGCGGAGGAAAAGAAACUAACAAGGAUUCCCCUAGUAACGGCGAGUGAAGCGGGAACAGCUCAAAUUUUAAAUCUGGCUGCCUUCGCAGUCCGAGUUGUAAUUUGAAGGCGUCUGUCGCAUGUGAGACGAUGGCACAAGUCCUCUGGAACGUGGCAUCGUAGAGGGUGAGAAUCCCGUCUCUGGUCGUUGUCUUGCAGGCACACGGCAGGCGAUCCGAAGAGUCGAGUUGUUUGGGAUUGCAGCUCCAAAUGGGUGGUAAACUCCAUCUAAGGCUAAAUAUUGGCGAGAGACCGAUAGCGAACAAGUACCGUGAGGGAAAGAUGAAAAGAACUUUGAAAAGAGAGUAAAACAGUACGUGAAAUUGUUGAAAGGGAAACGCUUGAAGUCAGUCGUGCCGGCGGGGAUUCAGCGAACUUCGCGGAGUGAGCGUAUUUCCUCGCAUGGCAGGUCAGCGUCAGUUUUGCGCGUCGUGAAAGGGCUCGGGUAAGGUGACUCUCUUCGGGGAGUGUUAUAGGCCUGAGCAGAUGCGAUGCGCGGGACUGAGGAUUGCAGCGGACACCCUUCGGGGCGCGGCGACCGAUCCCUGCUCUGUCACCUUCGUCCGAUAGCGUGCUAACGGUCGGGGGAGCGGCGGUUGCACCGGGUUGGCAAGCCGGCGGCUUCGCUAAGGAUGCUGGCGUAAUGGCUUUAAACGACCCGUCUUGA
rnacentral:rRNA from 1 species